rnacentral:rRNA from 1 species
AGUGAACGCUGGCGGUAGGCCUAACACAUGCAAGUCGAACGGCAGCACAGUAAGAGCUUGCUCUUACGGGUGGCGAGUGGCGGACGGGUGAGGAAUACAUCGGAAUCUACUUUUUCGUGGGGGAUAACGUAGGGAAACUUACGCUAAUACCGCAUACGACCUACGGGUGACAGCAGGGGAUCUUCGGACCUUGCGCGAUUGAAUGAGCCGAUGUCGGAUUAGUUAGUUGGCGGGGUAAAGGCCCACCAAGGCGACGAUCCGUAGCUGGUCUGAGAGGAUGAGCAGCCACACUGGAACUGAGACACGGUCCAGACUCCUACGGGAGGCAGCAGUGGGGAAUAUUGGACAAUGGGCGCAAGCCUGAUCCAGCCAUACCGCGUGGGUGAAGAAGGCCUUCGGGUUGUAAAGCCCUUUUGUUGGGAAAGAAAAGCAGCAGGUUAAGACCCCGCUGUUCUGACGGUACCCAAAGAAUAAGCACCGGCUAACUUCGUG